CGGGUCGGGACGCGGCGAGCGGAGUUUGCUGUGCUUUAGUUUGCUGUUGACUCGUGUUUCCGUGCUCCUUGUUGCAAUGAGCUUUCUCAAAAGUUUCCCGCCGCCUGGGUCGGCUGAGGGGCUCCGGCAGCAGCAGCCAGAUACUGAGGCCGUGCUGAACGGGAAAAGCCUUGGCACCGGCACCCUUUAUAUCGCUGAGAGCCGCCUGUCUUGGUUAGAUGGCUCUGGAUUAGGAUUCUCACUGGAAUACCCCACCAUUAGUUUGCAUGCGGUGUCCAGGGACCUAAAUGCCUAUCCACGAGAGCAUUUGUAUGUUAUGGUGAACGCCAAAUUUGGAGAAGAAUCAAAAGAAUCUGUUGCUGAUGAAGAAGAGGAAGACAGUGAUGAUGAUAUUGAACCUAUUGCUGAAUUUAGAUUUGUGCCUAGUGAUAGAUCAGCCUUGGAGGCCAUGUUCACUGCAAUGUGUGAAUGCCAGGCUUUGCAUCCAGAUCCUGAGGAUGAAGAUUCAGAUGAUUACGAUGGAGAAGAAUAUGAUGUGGAAGCACAUGAACAAGGGCAGGGGGACAUCCCUACAUUUUAUACCUAUGAAGAAGGAUUAUCCCAUUUAACAGCAGAAGGCCAAGCCACACUGGAGAGAUUAGAAGGAAUGCUUUCUCAGUCUGUAAGCAGCCAGUAUAACAUGGCUGGAGUCCGGACAGAAGAUUCAAUAAGAGAUUAUGAAGAUGGGAUGGAGGUAGAUACUACACCAACAGUUGCUGGACAGUUUGAGGAUGCAGAUGUUGAUCAUUGAAAAUGACUGAUGCUGCUUUAGGACUAUUCAGAGAACACCAACUACUCUACUAAUAAGAUUGAGAAACUUAUUUGAUUCUGCUCAUAACUGUAGGAGAGAACUUGGUGCCUCUUCCACUGUGGAGUGGGUAUUGAUGAAAGUCUUUUUCCUUCUCCAAAACUUACCUGAACCAGUUCUUUCUUGAGACACAUUAUACUGAGACAACAAGUUGUCACCAGCACAAGAAACUAUGACCUUUAUUAACAAAGGUGAAUUAACUUAACCAAGAGGGUAUUUGUAGUUUAUCAUUUACUCCAACACUUUGUGUCUAGGUGUACCCUCUGUAGGCUUAUAAUUGCUGCCUUACUAUAUGCAUCCUCAUAACCUAGCAGGACCACAUGGUGGAAAUGCACUGGCACUUGAAGGUGUAGGUAGACUGCAUGGGAAAGAGAGGGGCUGAAUACAAGAUAUACACCUUAGGGCCUAAGAAUACCCUUACUCCUUAAAAAAAGAAAAACAGAUAAAUCCUGGCACAGUCUCCACAGGGAUAAAGGUCUUUUUACUAAUUGGGAACCCAGAUUAAUUAACUCUAGGGAGCCUUUUCAGAAACAGCCCAGCCACACAUACUACCACUAACACAAGUGCUUUUGCCUAGCCUUUGCUCCUUUCACCAUGUUUCACCAGUCUGUUCUCUUAUAACCUCUUAGGUUAUAUCCUUUCAUUUCCAACCUCUUAGGUCAGUUUCUGUAAAAGAACAAGUGAAAUUGGGAUGAAGUUCUCAAAGUACUUCAGAUAAUUGUUUUGUCUUUGUAAUAGCUUAACAAAUAAAUCUAGGUUUUCUA